rnacentral:tRNA from 1 species
GAGGGUAUAGCUCAGUGGUAGAGCACAUGCUUAGCAUGCAUGAAGUCCUGGGUUCAAUCCCUAGUACCUCCA